rnacentral:rRNA from 1 species
GGCCAGCAGCCGCGGUAAUACGGAGGGUGCGAGCGUUAAUCGGAAUUACUGGGCGUAAAGCGUGCGUAGGCGGUUGGCUAAGUCUGCUGUGAAAGCCCUGGGCUUAACCUGGGAACUGCAGUGGAUACUGGUCGACUAGAGUGUGGUAGAGGGUAGUGGAAUUUCCGGUGUAGCAGUGAAAUGCGUAGAGAUCGGAAGGAACACCAGUGGCGAAGGCGGCUAUCUGGACCAACACUGACGCUGAGGUACGAAAGCGUGGGGAGCAAACAGGAUUAGAUACCCUGGUAGUCCACGCUGUAAACGAUGAGAACUAGCCGUUGGGCCUAUUUAAAGGUUUAGUGGCGCAGCUAACGCGAUAAGUUCUCCGCCUGGGGAGUACGGCCGCAAGGUUAAAACUCAAAUGAAUUGACGGGGGCCCGCACAAGG